rnacentral:rRNA from 1 species
UGGGGAAUAUUGGACACUGGGCGAAAGCCUGAUCCAGCCAUGCCGCGUGUGUGAAGAAGGUCUUCGGAUUGUAAAGCACUUUAAGUUGGGAGGAAGGGCAGUAAGCGAAUACCUUGCUGUUUUGACGUUACCGACAGAAUAAGCACCGGCUAACUCUGUGCCAGCAGCCGCGGUAAUACAGAGGGUGCAAGCGUUAAUCGGAAUUACUGGGCGUAAAGCGCGCGUAGGUGGUUCGUUAAGUUGAAUGUGAAAGCCCCGGGCUCAACCUGGGAACUGCAUCCAAAACUGGCGAGCUAGAGUAGGGCAGAGGGUGGUGGAAUUUCCUGUGUAGCGGUGAAAUGCGUAGAUAUAGGAAGGAACACCAGUGGCGAAGGCGACCACCUUGGCUCAUACUGACCCUGAGGUGCGAAAGCGUGGGGAGCAAACAGG